GAACAAACGCUGGCGGCGUGCCUAACACAUGCAAGUCGAACGAGAAAGUCGGUUUCGGCCGAUGAGUAAAGUGGCGCACGGGUGAGUAACGCGUGGAUAAUCUACCCUUUAGUCCGGAAUAACUUGCCGAAAGGUGAACUAAUACCGGAUGACAUCCCGGGUUCUCCGGAAACCGGGAUCAAAGAAGGCCUCUGCUUGCAAGCUUUUGCUGAAGGAUGAGUCCGCGUACCAUUAGCUAGUUGGUGGGGUAAUGGCCUACCAAGGUUAUGAUGGUUAGCUGGUCUGAGAGGAUGAUCAGCCACACUGGAACUGAAACACGGUCCAUACACCUACGGGUGGCAGCAGUAGGGAAUAUUAGUAAUGGGCGAAAGCCUGAACUAGCAACGCCGCGUGUGCGAAGAAGGCCUUCGGGUCGUAAAGCACUUUUUGAGAGGAUGAGGAAGGACGGUACUCUCAGAAUAAGUCUCGGCUAACUACGUGCCAGCAGCCGCGGUAACACGUAGGAGGCAAACGUUAUCCGGAUUUACUGGGCGUAAAGCGCGUGUAGGUGGUUUGGUAAGUAGGGCGUGAAAGCUCCUGGCUCAACUGGGAGAGGACGUUCUAAACUGCCAAGCUUGAGGAUGGUAGAGGGAGGUGGAAUUCCGGGUGUAGCGGUGGAAUGCGCAGAUAUCCGGAGGAACACCAGUGGCGAAGGCGGCCUCCUGGACCAUUCCUGACACUCAGACGCGAAAGCNAGGGUAGCAAACGGGAUUAGAGACCCCGGUAGUCCUAGCCCUAAACGAUGUAGACUAGGCGUCGGAAGCUUAAUCGCUUUCGGUGUCCAAGCUAACGCGAUAAGUCUACCGCCUGGGGACUACGGCCGCAAGGUUAAAACUCAUAGGAAUUGACGGGUCCCCGCACAAGCAGCGGAGCGUGUGGUUUAAUUCGUUGCUACACGAAGAACCUUACCUGGGUUUGACAUAGCAGUGGUAGGGAAGCGAAAGCGGACCGACCCUUCGGGGAGCUGUUACAGGUGUUGCAUGGCUGUCGUCAGCUCGUGUCGUGAGAUGUUCGGUUAAGUCCGCUAACGAGCGCAACCCGCGUUGUGUGUUACAAGUGUCACACAAUACCGCCGGUAUUAAGUCGGAGGAAGGUGCGGAUGACGUCAAGUCAGCAUGACCUUUAUAUCCAGGGCUACACACACGCUACAAUGGUCAGCACAAUAGGUUGCCAAGUCGUGAGACGGAGCCAAUCCUCCAAAGCUGGCCUCAGUUCAGAUUGCAGGCUGCAACUCGCCUGCAUGAAGUUGGAGUUGCUAGUAACCGCAGGUCAGCUAUACUGCGGUGAAUACGUUCCCGGGGAU
rnacentral:rRNA from 1 species